CCCGCGGCGCGGCGUGUGGCCGGACCGCAGCCGCGGCGCCCCUUCCCGGGCGCAGGGUCAGCUGGCACCGGCGCUGCUCGGUGCGGGGCCCGCCCGCGGGGCUCUGCUGCUGUGAGGAAGCACAAAGGGGGCACCGGGGCGCCCGCCCAGCCCCGAGCGCGGCUGCGCCCGCGCGUGCGGCAGGAGCCGGGCGGGAGCCCCGGGAAAAGGGAGACGGCCCCGCGGGGCUGGGGGAGCCCGGGGCGCCGCAGACCCGACAGACACCCCUAGACAAGGGACGGGUGGCAGCUGGUGGCGGUCUGUCCUGUGUGCUUCGGUAAGGCCGCUGAGACCUGAUUUCUUUGGUGGCAUUAUCUCAUGCGGUGAAUGCAAACGUUAUUUUAGGCUAAACUUUCCCGGCCAGGCUGCAUGGGUGAGCGUCACUGGCACGCACGGCACCCACCUUGUCUGCGCGCUCCGAGCGGGGCGGCUGGGAGGGACACUCGGGAACGGCGGGCAGGAGCUGCUCCGUGUUGAUCCUUAGACAAAUCCUACACUUAUUGUCGUCGCGGUUAUGCAAGCAGCACAGUUACAUAAUCAGAAUAUAAAAAUACGGGGGAAAGCGCUGUAAGGGUGUUACUGUUCCUAAAGGCAUCUGAAGGAAAUAGAAGAUGGUCUUCAACAUCCACUAGCUCUUGGUUGCCAAAAGUACAUUUUACAUGUUGAUAUUCAGAUACAUGCAUGGUCACAUGGUAUAAACUGAAGUCAAGUGUAAUUAAAACAUUUUGUUCAAAGA